UUGCGGGGAUCCAAGUGCCUGCAGCCGCCAGAGCCCGAGCCGCCGCAGUGAGGACCAUCCCGCAGGUACAGAGCGGGCGGCGUGAACCCGGGGCCGCAGGGAGCGCUCCAGACCCAUCUCCCGGGGAUGUGUUGGGCCCUGAGCCUGGUGCUGGCGCGCGGCCGGGCACAGUUUUGCUUUCCAUGGUGUCAGUCACCUGGGAUCCACUGGGGUCUGGAAGCUGAUAAUGCUCCUUCUGAUGCAUCAUGGGGUCAGUAGCAGCCUAAUGUGAUGUCACACGCCUAUGUCGUUCACCUCACUUCCCAUCACACGGGCAUUUCGUCAUCCACACCGUUGUUACAAGAAGAAGGAGAGAAUGAAUCCAGCGGGGAGGCGUCUUCUUGCCCCACAUACAUAACACUGCAUGGCUGGCGACCUCCUGCACGGCGGGGCCAUGUGAAAUCUUCCUGGUUGUUUCCCUACUUGGAGGCCCAGAGUCUCAUCAAAAGGUGGAAGACAGGUUUGAAGAGACAAAUUCACACUCAAGUCUGACAGACCUCGGAUGCUUCUAAUUAACUGUCUAAAAGGCAUAAAACAAUGUUGGAGGACACUUCCAGACACUAACGAACGUUUGAACAGCAGCCGUGGGCAGGGAUGUCACAAGACAGAUGGAGGAGGUGGCUGCCAUCGGAACAUCGCCGUGGGCCCAGUGACAGUCAGAUGCGUGUGCAGAGACCCGUCCUGCCCCCAGGUCUGGGUGGGAGGAGAGAGGGAUGCCGAGCUGAAAGAUCUUGGGGCUCCAAAGCCAGCAACCAACUGAAAAGUUGAUCACUCUUCCUGGACUCAUGUGUUCCCCCUUUUCGUAGAGCCUUCUGGUGCUCGGACUCCUGGAUGGGGUCUGACUGUAAUUCCACGAGCCGCCUUUAGAGCUUUCCUGUUAAAGUGUUUGCCUGAAGGGUGGGGGGAAGGAUCAAUCAGAGAAUUUGAGGGGCACUUGGUUGGCUAAAUUGGCAGAGCGUGAAGCUUUUAAUCUCAGGGUUGUGAGUUCAAGCCCCACAAUGGGUGUAGAGCCUACUUAAAAAAAAAAAAAGAAUUUGAUUGGAGGCUCUAGGUUCUAGUUGAAAAACCAGGUGGAGGAAUUCUUUCGUCUUAGGUUCUGGAGCUCAGGGUACUUUUGGCCUUAUUAUGACAAUGUUUGAUUUCACAAAUGAGUCCAGCGUACUACCAAUAAAUGCUACGCUUUGUUUACCCUCAUUCUGGCUAGAUUCUGUUCUUCUCAAGGUAAUGGUCCCAUUCUGGAUCAGAGUCAGACUGUAGUCAGUUCUGCAAAAAUCCAGUCUGUCCACUUAGAAAUAAGCAAAUUGGGGCACCUGGCUGGCUCAGUUGGUGGAGUGUGCAACUCUGGAUCUUGGGGUUGUGAGUUCAAGCCCCACAUUGGGUGUAGAGAUGACUUAAAAAUAAAAUCUUUUAAAAAGACAGAAAGAAAGAAUGAAAGAAAGGAGGAAAGAAGGCCAUUAAAAUCCAAAGUACCCAGUGAAUUAUGGUUGAAUUUUACCAAAUAUUUCAACAGUUGGUCAAUGUUAACUGAAACUGAAAGAAUUCAAGUUUCUCAAAGCUAAAUACAAUUUAUUUCAGUAAGAAGCAUAAUUAAAGUCCGAGGGAAAAAAUUUAUGUUUUACUGAAAAAGAAAAAGAAAGUGAAUAGGGGCAGGUGGAUGGCUUAGUCAGU